UUGGAGGGCAAGUCUGGUGCCAGCAGCCGCGGUAAUUCCAGCUCCAAUAGCGUAUAUUAAAGUUGUUGCAGUUAAAAAGCUCGUAGUUGAAUUUCGGGAUCAGAUUGUCGGUCGUGCCUCGGUACGCACUGGUAUUAUUGGUUCCUACCUUCUGAAGAACCGCGAUGUCAUUAAUUUGGUGUCGUGGGGAAUCAGGACUGUUACUUUGAAAAAAUUAGAGUGUUUAAAGCAGGCUUACGCUUGAAUACAUUAGCGUGGAAUAAUGAAAUAGGACGUUUGAUUCUAUUUUGUUGGUUUCUAGGAUUGACGUAAUGAUUAAUAGGGAUAGUGGGGGGCAUUAGUAUUCAAUUGUCAGAGGUGAAAUUCUUGGAUUUAUUGAAGACUAACUACUGCGAAAGCAUUUGCCAAGGAUGUUUUCAUUAAUCAAGAACGAAAGUUAGGGGAUCGAAGACGAUCAGAUACCGUCGUAGUCUUAACCAUAAGCUAUGCCGACUAGGGAUCGGAUGAUGUUAAUUCUUUAAUGACUCAUUCGGCGCCUUACGGGAAACCAAAGUGUUUGGGUUC
rnacentral:rRNA from 1 species